UAUUACUAAACAAGGGCAAAACCUACUCAGCCACACUGACACUAGAUCAUGGAUGCGUCACCUCUAUGUAGCACAGAAUGGGAAGCAAAUUGGAAUCCCUCCACGCAACACAAGAUGGAAAGUGAGGCCGAGCCUUUUUAUUACAAUCUCUUUCAUCAGAAUAUUCAAACAAAACAAAACUAGAAAGCUAAUACAUAUAUUUUACGUCUCCCUUCAUACUUUAUGAGGGUUUUCUUCUUUUUUGGGUGGGGGUGUUUAGCGGGGUUCAAAUCAGCCCAAUUUGGACAUAUUUCUCCCUCUAUGCUCAAACUAUUUUCAUCUGAAACUAUUGGUUUAGCCUAACUGAUGUCUUGAUGAUAUAAAACAAUAAAUAAAUUAGAAAACUAAGUAAAAUUCUCUUCCUCACAAUUCAUCCUUCACAUCAUUGGUGCUGCUCUCCUGACUUCCUUUGGUAUCAGAACUCUCGGGUUUUGGAGUCGAAGCUGGCUUUUGAAGCUUGAAGGGGAUGGAUGCAUGUUUCUUGAUGAACUUAUAUAAUGCUACCACAGUGCGAUCAGUGUCUACAGUAAGCGGAUCAAAGCUCUUGUUUCCAGCAGGGAAAAAGAGAAUGGUGGGGAAUCCAUCAGCCUGCAUAAGAAAAAGAAAAGAUUCAUUACAAACACCCAUUUUCCAUUUAGGUUUGAUACUUUUGAACAAGAGCUUAACACUAAAUGAUACGACAUUUGGGUGACAAAAACCAUAUUAGGUGCAUUGGAUAUUAACUCAUAUGCCAUAAAUCUUUAAUCAUUCUAAACAGGAGUUGCUCCAAAUAUUUAGUCAAUAUAUCAUAAUAACCCUGUUACAUAAACCUAAAUUAUACAUGGAACAGUUUAACGUGAAACCAAACAGACAUGUCAUAUCUCACACCGUAAAUCAACUUUGCGAGUACCUUUGCCCUGGGAUGCUCAUUCGUUGUUCCAUCCAUCUUGGCUAUAACAAGAGAUUCAAUGCCCCGCAAAUGUUUGCCAAGCUUGUUGUAUGUUGGCUCUAGUGCUUGACAAUGUCCACACCAUGGUGCAUAGAUCUUUACACAGAAGGAAAUGAGCUCCACAUAAUGAGAAGAAAAAAGAAUUAAUUGAUUCACAGAUUUAUCUUCAAGGAUGCUACAAUACCUCAAGGAGAACAUCUUUUGACUCAUCCAGCACAAUUUCAUCAAAGUUAUUCCCAACUACUAUUUUGACAUCACCAUCAUUAGUCUCAGGAACUGGGUCCGACUUGAAGAAAGGUUUAAGCCUGUCUUCCAGAAAUUCCUCUCCAAAAGUCUUUAUCUUUUCCAAGGUAAGUUCCCCGUCAAGUACAAAUUUCUGACCAUCAUUAUUUCCUGUGUAAGCAAGAACUGUGGGAGCAUUUCCAGUGAUACCAAAAUAAUCUGCAACAGGCUUUCCAACAUCUUCAUUGUCCAAUUCAACAUAUACAAAGACAAGCUUUCCCUUGAAAAAUUUAGCUGCUUCUUGAAAUAUUGGCAAAACUUUCUCUGAAUCAUUUGAAGUUGCAAAUAACAACAGCUGUUUCUUAAUUGGACUCUCAAAAAUAGAAGGGGCACUUUCUCUAGUGAAAGUGGUCACCAAAGGAAGCUUGUUAGCGAACACAAACUCAACUAUCUCAGACUUGGAAAAGUUACCAUCAAAGUAAUUCAGUUUCUCGGCCUCGUUCUUAAUCAGGACUAAAGCAGGGCGUUUCACUUUGGGGUCAAGAUGGAAAAGCUUUGCCACAUCCGGAUUUACAGUUUGGUAGAAAUUGACAUCAUCUUCUAGUCUUGAUGCAGCAGCGAGCUCUUCAGUUUCAGGACCCACCAAAGAAUUGAGGUAGCCCAGAACAACUUUACUAUCAGAUGUCAAAACGCGUUCAGCAUCAUCCAAUGUAGUAAUGUUGUAUAUACCAGGUCCUAUUUUCUUCUUGAUCCAAGUCACAAUAGCGUCCUUGGUCCUCUGCCCAGGAUAAGGCUUGUGGACUCCGUCAACGAAGAAGUAAACAGUAGGAAACCCUUGAACAUCAUACUCCUGCGCCAACUCACUGUCCUCAGUAGCAUCUACUUUCGCCAACGCCACGUCCUCCCCCUUCAGCUCCGUAGCUGCCGCCGCAUACUCAGGAGCCAGCGCCUGACAGUGGCCGCACCACGGCGCGUAAAACUCAACCAUAACGAACUUAUGGUUUUCAAUAAAAUCGCUGAAAUUCCUUUCCUUCAAAACGACGACGUCCUUGUCGUCAAUUUCAGGCACCUUAUAUGGAUCGGAUUCGGAAUCGUCAAAAUCAGAGUAGUUUUCGAAGUCGUCGUUAUCAAUGUCGUCUCCUUCGAACUGGUCCGAGUCGGGGUAGUGGUGGUCGUGAGGGACGGCGUCGUUUUUAUCACUUGCAUCCUCGAGGAAGCUAAGAUCUUCGUCGUCGUCGUCGUUUUCUACCUUGCCGUUUUCAGUUUUGGAGAGGGAAGGAGAGAGUAUAGAGAAGAGGAGGAGAGUUGUGAGAGAAAGAAGGAUAAUGAAGCGAGCAGACAUUGUUGCUACUGUGAAAUUUGCUAGACAGGGAGAGAGUGAGAUCUGAACAUAGGGGCUAUAGAAGAAGGGGAAGUGAGAAAUCAACGGAGAAGUCAAAGGACCUUGAAGUCGGCACUGCAACGACGCCGUUUGUUUGCGACCUUCUUUUACAGGAAAAU
rnacentral:misc_RNA from 1 species